rnacentral:lncRNA from 1 species
CUCUUCUUGUGAGUCUCUUUGCUGAUUUUAUUCAGGGAGAGAUUGAGGAGCUGGAUCGAAUUUUGAAUAUUUUGGAUCCUCGGUCGUCAACCUUGGAUCUUCCUUCUCUGCGCCAGCUUAUUGUUGAGCGGCAGAGUGUUGCUGUUGCAGCUAGGGAAUCCAUAUUUGAAGAAUGGUCUGGUGGCGAUCUUCCGCCCGCCUCUUCUUCUGUUGUCCCUCCUCGUGGUCGACGUCGGAGGCGUCCCCGCCGCGGUGCUUCCCCGCUGGAUCAGGUCCCUCGUCGCUUACGUCGCCGUAUCAAUUUUAAUUAGGAACCUGUAAUAAUAUUUUUCAUUCAUCAUUUUUGUGACUUUGAAUAAAUAUACUUUUACCUUUUCCUUUAUUCGACUUACACCUUUACUUUGAAGUACGUUAGUGUAACCGAUGCUUUCUUUUGGUCAAUAC